CUGCUGCCUCCCGUAGGAGUCUGGUCCGUGUCUCAGUACCAGUGUGGGGGACCUUCCUCUCAGAACCCCUACGCAUCGUCGCCUUGGUGGGCCGUUACCCCGCCAACUAGCUAAUGCGACGCAUGACCAUCCGUAGCCGGAAUCGCUUCCUUUAAACCCGAGGAGAUGCCUCCUCGGGUUGUUACGCGGUAUUAGACGGAAUUUCUUCCGCUUAUCCCCCUGCUACGGGCAGGUUUCAUACGUGUUACUCACCCGUGCGCCGGUCGCCGGCGGG
rnacentral:rRNA from 1 species